UGCAGCCUUGUCAAAUUCAGUAAGCCCUUCCUGUUGGUGUAAAAAUGUCUGCUACAAGUAACGUGUAGUUAAUGGGGCCUUCCAUCUAGAACUGAUGGAUUCUGGGGAUAAAAUUGUGCUACAGGUAAAU